rnacentral:rRNA from 1 species
GACAGAGGGGGCAAGCGUUGCUCGGAAUUACUGGGCGUAAAGGGUUCGUAGGUGGCCAACUAAGUCAGACGUGAAAUCCCUCAGCUUAACUGGGGAACUGCGUCUGAGACUGGAUGGCUUGAGUGCAGGAGAGGAACGCGGAAUUCCAGGUGUAGCGGUGAAAUGCGUAGAUAUCUGGAGGAACACCGGUGGCGAAGGCGGCGUUCUGGACUGCAACUGACACUGAGGAACGAAAGCCAGGGGAGCAAACGGG